UCUAGAAGCUUACCUAAACAUACGAAUAGGUAACAUCUUCUUUUUUCCUCCUCAUCGAUCAAAGACCGGUCCGUCCCCAAUCGACGGCGCGAGUUUCUCCAAAGACUGCGUCCGCAGAGAGACCCGAUCGCCUUUCUUCCCACCCAAUUCCACCAGCCACUCCCUCGAUCCAUCUAUAAUCGAUGGAUUCAACACCAGGCACCAGCUCCAAGUAAAAUCAACGCGCGAUUCGUGGUGUUCUCCAUUCGCAUCUAGUCAACCGAGCGGAGGAGAGCCAAAUCCGCCCCCAAAAUCGCUCCUUGUUUUUUCCUUGGGUGUCAGAGAUCUGAAGGAGGAGGAGCAGCGAUGUGUCCGCUCAGAGUGCUGCUGAUCUUUCUCUCCGCCACUUUGGCUGGUUUCUUUCUUCUGAGGAACCUCAAGACUCAGUCUGACCUAAUCGAAGAGCCCCUGGAAGACGAUUUCCCAAAAGAGCAACUUUCUCUUUCCAACAAGGUUUGUUCGAAGAUUUAUUCGGGCUUCUGGACAUGCGUCGAUAUGGCGAGCGGGAGGUACUUGUGGAGGAUCAUGGCGCCUGCUGCUACCAAGGAGAAGAAGGCUUGUUGAUGAACGUGAGGAGAAAUUAUUGUGGCCUGCCUCUUUUCUUUCAUCUUUCUUUGCUGAGAACCAAAAAACAAGAAGAAAACCAAAACAUAUAAGUACUGUUGAUUUAUCACAGUAUUGUUUGUAUCCAACAAAAUUUUUAACUGAUGAUGUAUAUUUUGUUGUAUACACAUUUCAUAACUUUUUAUAAUCUUAAUUCAUUAUA